AUUGAACGCUGGCGGCAUGCCUUACACAUGCAAGUCGAACGGUAACGCGGGGGCAACCCUGGCGACGAGUGGCGAACGGGUGAGUAAUACAUCGGAACGUACCCAGUAGUGGGGGGUAGCUCGGCGAAAGCCGGAUUAAUACCGCAUACGACCUAUGGGUGAAAGCGGGGGAUCGCAAGACCUCGCGCUAUUGGAGCGGCCGAUGUCGGAUUAGCUAGUUGGUGAGGUAAAGGCUCACCAAGGCUACGAUCCGUAGCUGGUCUGAGAGGACGACCAGCCACACUGGGACUGAGACACGGCCCAGACUCCUACGGGAGGCAGCAGUGGGGAAUUUUUGGGACAAUGGGCGAAAGCCUGAUCCAGCCAUGCCGCGUGUGUGAAGAAGGGCCUUCGGGUUGUAAAGCACUUUUGUCCGGAACGAAACGGCAAGAGCGAAUAACUCUUGUUAAUGACGGUACCGGAAG
rnacentral:rRNA from 1 species